rnacentral:lncRNA from 10 species
AAAAUUUUACAAGGUUUUCACUUAGUUUUGCUAAAAUGUCCAUCUCUUCAUCUUGUUUCAAUUGUGAGUCAAUUGUGUGGCAUGGGUACAAUUAUGCUCUCUUCAUAUGCAGAAUUAAUGUCAUUUUUUUUACUAUAGAUAUUUUCCAUUUUUCACCUGAGACCACAGGCCAAUUUCAAAAAGAAUAUUUACUUCUAAUUAUGUAGCUUCUAUUACAUAGCUAGUAUUGUCUUUGUUUACUUCAUGUAUAUGCCAAAAAGACCUCAUGACUUAUGAAACGUUCAACUGUUUACUUAAAUUGGCCCAAUAAAUUUAAUAAACUCAAUUAUGUCAAUUUUAUAAAGUAAAAUGAACAGUAACUAAACAAAAACUGGAUUCAAUAGCAUUCUCUAAUUGAAACAAAAUAUAAAAUACACUAAAUAACAUACAAUACACGCACUGUGAAAUUACUCACGUGAAAAUUAUUUUGUGAACACCAUUAAAUUUUAUCAAAGUCACUUUCAUAAUCUCUGAGGUGAUUAUACAAAGAAUGUUUUAUGAAAAGAAAAUUAUGUCUAUGGUGAGCAACAGGCAAACAGACAAACAACAAAAAAAGAAUUUGCACAAGAUGAUUCUAAGCCAGGAGCAAUAACAUUUUAGAUAAAUGAAUUUAAUACACAGCAGAGAAAAUAGAUUUGCUUUCAAAAUCUCUGAAGUUUCUGGUUUGCUGGUAAGUGAUCAACACUUGUAAAAUUAUCUGUUCAUUCUAAUAUUUUUCUUUUCUUCUCAAAGUAGGUACACAACCAUAAACAAAUAUGAUUACUUUCUCUAUAAAUCUGUUACACCUGAAGUUUAUUUUACAGUGAUAUAUCUAUAUAUUUAAAUCCAUGUAAACCAAAACUAAAGGUCUGUAUGUGUUUAGCAGACCAGAGAAGUCAUAUGUUCAACAGAAAAAAGUAGGAUAAAAUUUUAUAAAUAGUUGUUCAGAAUUCAGAAACAUAUAGCUCCAAUUAUACUCAUAAUCUUCAUUACAACCAUCAUAAUAAUCUGUAGUUACAAGUAAACAAAAAUGUAAGUUGUAGAAACCAUAUUCUCUAAAUUAUUUUAAGUUAAAGACCACUGACAAAGGGAUCACUAGAGAUGUUAGUCCACUGUCACCCAAUAGUAUAUUGUUACCUACAACCUUGGGUAAGAUGGGAUAAGUUAACAUCAGUGGCAAGAUACACAUUCAAUGUAAAAUAGCCUUAACACAAUAACAAUAAUUUUGGUUUAUUAAAACAAAUUAAGUUCACACAUUGUCAUUAAAAAGGCAUUUUGAAAUUCACUGUAUUUUAAUUACCUUAAUUUGCAAAUGGUAAGGCAAUUUCCUUCUAAAAUUCAAAUUGUUUCUCUUACUAAGCAGAUUAUUAUCCUGAUCACUUACCACACUCCUAUCAUCCUGUCACUUACGAUACUGCUGUAAACUAAUAAGUGGCCUUUCCACUUAGAAUUUCUUCGUGUGUCUUAGGUUUCAGUUUACUUAAUCCUCCAUGGAAAAGUAUAUAAAUCUGUCCAUCUAAUAUAGAAGAACCUCUCACAACUCUGGUGCAACCACUGACCAUGUUCUUUCACAUAAAUUCUAGAAAUGAAGACACAGCAUCAAAUGUAAGAGUUAAAUUAUAUUGAAAUUUGCUUUUGAAAAAUAUUGAAUCCUUUUAAUAUAAAAAAGUAGGUUCCCUUUAGAGAAAAGUGAUCGAGAUUGCUGACUAGAAGCAGCUAGACUGUGCAGUUCUCAUAGACAGGAAUGCAAGGUAUACAUAAAUACAGCACCUGCAACUGAAACAUCCAGGUACUUGCAUUGGGAAUAAUCAAAGAAACAAUCUAUGGAGAAUGGAGUAAAGCAAGGCAGGACAAUGGGCCACCUGGGAACAACAUGGAGCCAAGGGAACCUCCCCACCCAGUAAAGCAGUGAGUGCAUGUGUGACCCUAGAAACCCAUGAUUCUCCCACAGAUCUCUGCAACCUUCAGGUGAGGAGAUACCCUCAUGAACCCACUUCACCAAGGCCUUCAGUUUAACACACAGAGCUACAUGGAGUCUCAGCAGAUAAGCCACUUAGGCCUGCGCAGAUUCAAGAGCCUUAGCUACUGGCUUAGAUUCCAGCCAACCAUUGGUAGCAGCACUGCACCUCCCUGGGAUGGAGCUACCAGAAAGAGGAGUGGGCCACCAUCUUUGCUGCUUGAGCAACUUAGCCAUUCCAGCCUUCAGGCUUUGAAGAGCCCAAGCUGACCGGGGGGCGGAAAGGAUCUCCUAGCACAGUACAGGUGCUCUAAAAAGACAUGGCCAGACUGCCUGUUAAAGCAGGUCCCCCGUUUCAUUCCUUCUCACUGGAAAGUACUUCCCAAUGAGGGUCUCCAGCUACCACCACCAGCGCUCUUUGGUUGAUGGAGUUUUGAAACCUCUUUGGGAUACAGUUCCUAGAGGGAGGAGUGAGCUGCCAUUUUUGCUGUUUGUGUGAGUUAGCUGUUCCAGCCUUCUGGCUUUGGAGAAUCCAAAUAAACUGGGGGUGGAAGUGGUACCUCUGAAUAGCAGAGCUGUCCUGCAAAAAUAUGGCUAGACUGCUUUCUUAAGUGGGUCCCCAAUCAUGUUUUCCUCACUGGGUAGGACCUUCAACAGGGGCUUCCAGCUACCUCCUACAGGUGCUUUUGGGCUGGCAACAGGUCUAUACCUCCCUGGGAUGGCGCUCCCAGAGAAAAGGGCAUGCUGCCAUUGUUGCUGUUUUGCAGCAUUCAGUGGUGAUAACUUCCAGUACUGGAAAAUCUGAGGUGACUAGAAACUGUAGUGGACACCCAGCAUACUGCAGCAGCCCUUCAGAAGUGGUCGGACUGUUACGUGAGUGCCUGUUCUCAUAUAUUCUCACGAGGCAGGUUCUCCAGGCCCGGGCCACUAGCCAAUCAUUGCCAGAGCUAUUGAGCCAGUAGCAGCUUAGCAACUCCCUGGACAGAGCCUCCAGGGGCCUCUGCAGUACAACUGUCCUUGCUACCCUCAGACUAAUAAAAAAUCCCAAACCCUAAGUGCCUUAUUCACACCUCAAACUGCAGUUUACCCAAGGAGAGGAAGCCAGCCCAUCCUCCAUGGGUCCCACAAACUACCCACUGCUCCUCAGCAGACAGUAAACCCCUAACUUGGCCAAAAGUAAAGAUCUUCCAUCCUGGGCUGGCUGCACUGAGUAAUUGCUGACCUACAUCUCUCUGAGAUGCAGCCCCCAGAAGACAAGCAAAGAGAUAAUGCAGCAAGCCAGCUCAUGUGGUGGCCAGAGGGUUUGGUGCAAGAGCAUCUGUAGUAAAGUGUGGCCAGUGAUGGCCAUUUCUCUAGGCUCAACUGUCUCCCAUAAGAGACUUUAGCCCUACGGGAACUGUUGGGCCUAAUUUCUGCAGGAUGGUCUUGCAAAUCAGAAGAAGCUGGUCCAACUGAGCACUCCUUGGUCUGCUGGCCUCUCCCAGGGACCCAGUCUGGCCACAGCUGCUUACAGGGCAGUCUCAGGUACCCUGGAAGCUCAUACCAGAGCAUCUGCACUGGAGGGACAUGCCUGACUCAUGAAGAGCUCCAGCAAAGCAGCCCCUAUGACUGCACCAGCCCACAUUUCUUCCCCAUACUGCAGCUUCCCGUGACACCAUGGCAACUCCUGAUAUUUCUUUGCUGGCACAUGUCUGCAAAGGCAGGUUUGGCUUUGCUUGCCCCACCAGCAAAUGGGAAUGCAAUAUGCCCCGCCACCCCCAGCAACUGCCAUUGUAGAUGAAACUUUGGUGGGCAGAAAUCCCAUAUCCACUAGCACUCUGCUCCAGCUAUGGCACCUUCAUCCCACAAACUCGCAAACUCCAAAUCUCAAGGAGCCAGAGAACACAGUUGGGGCUCAAAACAAGUCCCCCGGAGUUAGAGUAUGCAGCCUCUGAGUUGUGAGCUGAGCAUUGCCCACCCACCACCACCACCAAACAAAACAAAACAAAACAAAACAAAACAAAAAAAACCUCCCAGGAACAAAGCCUGUUGGCUGCAUCCAUCUUAUACCACAAUCAAAUACUCAAGACCAUCAAAUAGGAUUAAAAAAAAAAAAGCCCAAAGGUCAGCAACCUCAAAGAUAUGCCCACAAAGAUAAGACACAAUCAGUGCAAAGAUAAAAACACAAAAAGCCAGAGUGACUUCUUUCAUCCAAAUGACCAAAUUACAUUUCCAGCAAGGCCUAAGAUGACAGAAGUAGAAUUCAGAAUAUGGGUAGAAACAAACUUCACUGAGUUACAAAAGUAAUUUGCAACCCAAUGCAAGGGAGGAAAAAAAAUUGCAGGAACUGACGGAAAAAACAGCCAGUCUGGAGAAAAAAUGUGGCCAACCUGAUAGAACUGAAAAACACAAUACAAAACCUUUAUAAUGUAAUCACAUAUAUUAACAGCAGAAUAGGCCAAGCAGAGGAAAGAAUCUCAGGGCCUCAAGACUGGCUUUCUGAAAUCAGACAGACAAGAACAGUGAAAAAAGAAUAAAGAGGAAUGAACAAAACCUCUAAGAAAUAUGGGAUUAUGUAAAGAAACCAAAUCUAUGAUGCAAGAGAUUGCCUGAAAGUGAUGGGGAGAAUGAAAACAACUUGAAAUACGUAUUUCAGGAUAACAUCCAUGAGAACUUCCCCAACCUAGAGAGGCCAACAUUCAAAUGCAGGAAAUGUGGAGAACCCCAGUAAGAUACCCCAGGAGAAGGUCAUCCUCAAGACACAUAAUCAUGAGAUUCUCCAGGGUCAAAAUGAAAGAAAAAAUAUGUUAAAGGCAGCUAGAGAGAAAGGCCAGGUCACCUCUAAAAAGAAGCUCAUCAGGAAAACAACAAAUCUUUCAGCUGAAAUCCUACAAGUCAAAAGAGAUUAUAGGGGCCAAUAUUCAACAUUCUUAAAAAAAGAAUUCCAACACAGAAUUUCAUAUCUGACCAAGGUAAGCUUCAGAAGUAAAAAAUAUAUAUGAUCCUAUUCAGACAAGCAAAUGCUGAGAAAAUGUUACCACAGGAUCUGUCUUAAAAGAGCUUCUGAAGAAAGCAUUAAAUAAGAAAAAGACUAUUACCAGUCACUACAAAAGCACACUAAAGUAUACAAACUGUGGACACUAUAAAGCAACCACAGAAACAAAUGUGCAAAAUAGCCAGCUAAGAUCCUAAUAACAGAAUCCAAUCCACACAUAUGAAUACUAACCUUAAAUGUAAA